GAUGAACGCUGGCGGCGUGCCUAAUACAUGCAAGUCGAACGGACGGACGCGGAGCUUGCUUCUCUGAUGUUUGCGGCGGACGGGUGUGUCACACGUGGAUCCCCUCCCUAUAUGACUGGGAUCACUUCGGGAAACCGGAGCUAAUACCGUAUAAUCUUUUGAACCGCGUGGUUCGAAGGAGAAAGACGGUCUUGCUGGCACUUAUAGAUGCAUCCGCGCUUGAUUGGAUAGUUGGUAAGGUAAAGGCUUACCACGGCAACGAUGCAUGGCCGACCUGAGAGGGUGAUCGCCCACCCUGGAACGGAGACACGGUCCAGACUCCUACGGGAGGCAGCAGUAGGGAAUCUUCCGCAAUGGGCGAAAGCCUGACGGAGCAACGCCGCGUGAGUGAUGAAGAUCUUCGGAUCGUAAAACUCUGUUAUUAGGGAAGAACAGAUGUGUAAGGAACUGAGCACAUCUUGACGGUACCGAAUCAGAAAGCCACGGCUAACUACGUG
rnacentral:rRNA from 1 species